rnacentral:tRNA from 1 species
GCGGACGUGGCGGAAUGGCAGACGCGCCAGACUUAGGAUCUGGUACCGCGAGGUGUGGGGGUUCGAAUCCCCCCGUCCGCA